CCUCGGGGCUCCAGUAGGGGGUUUGUGCUCCACUUCCUCAUUCAAUACAGACGAGUGAAGGAAAGAGUUGCGUGUGUGUUUUUCCUCAUUCUUCUCCCUUUUUUAAGGGGCAGUGAGCUGGAGGCCCAGUAGUAGUCUGCGAGCCCGUGCCCAGGAACACCUGGUUAGCACCGUGAUGAAGGACAGCCAGAGUCGGCCAACCGGUGUUCAGCAUCGCUCUGCCCCGCCCACUGUGAGAAGAGACAUUUCUACUUACAAGCCAGGAUUAUCAGGAUCACCACGGUACCCCCUCUCUGCUCGGUCCACCUCGGCCCGGCGCCCCGCUCCGGCAGAGGAACUCUCCCCCCUCCUCUCUCUCUCCCGUCUCCCUCCCCCCUCCCUCUCUGGCCCGUGCUCCGGGGGCGUGUCCUUGCGGCCCGUGUCCCGCGCCGCCCAGGAGAUCCAGGACAUCAGCGGUGUGGACCGGGCGAGCGGAGAGGACCCCAGGGAGGACGCGGACGCGGAGGCCCUGACCCGCCUGGAGGAGGAGCUCAGACUCAUGGUCCAUGAUACAAGCGCUCGGCCCGCGUUAAUAAGGAGCGCAGGCCACGGAGCACAAGGCCAGCGGAGGACUAAAGAUCUGACAUGGGGCGGAGUCAGUGAGGAGCAGAAACAGGAGGAAGAGGAAGUGGCGAGAGAUCACCAGAGUGUCUUGUCACUGCCUUGAAGCACGCCGAGUCAGAUAUGGAUGAACCGGCAUGUGGAUGUAUGCAUGUGGGUGUAUGCAUGUGCACACACACACAGUCACACACAGUCACACACACACACACACACACACACACACACACACACACACACACACACACACACACACACACACACACACACACACACACACACAUGCACACGCACACGCACACACACACCUGUCAUUUUUGGGGACUACUUUAAAACAAUAGAUAGACUAAUUUGCAUUUAUUUUCGAAACCUUCACUGUCAUGUAGAUAAGUGAGGCUACUGACUGUGCCUUGUAUUCUGUGUAGUCAGCCCUGGCAAUAAGCUAUUAGCUUACCAUUGGCUUUUUAAAAAAAAAUCAGGAAACGGGUGAGACAUUGUGACAUGACUAAGCAUUAAAGAAUCCAAUCUGAU
ensembl:lncRNA